GAUGAACGCUGGCGGCGUGCCUAAUACAUGCUAGUCGAGCGAACGGACGAGAAGCUUGCUUCUCUGAUGUUAGCGGCGGACGGGUGAGUAACACGUGGAUAACCUACCUAUAAGACUGGGAUAACUUCGGGAAACCGUAGCUAAUACCGGAUAAUAUUUUGAACCGCAUGGUUCAAAAGUGAAAGACGGUCUUGCUGUCACUUAUAGAUGGAUCCGCGCUGCAUUAGCUAGUUGGUAAGGUAACGGCUUACCAAGGCAACGAUGCAUAGCCGACCUGAGAGGGUGAUCGGCCACACUGGAACUGAGACACGGUCCAGACUCCUACGGGAGGCAGCAGUAGGGAAUCUUCCGCAAUGGGCGAAAGCCUGACGGAGCAACGCCGCGUGAGUGAUGAAGGUCUUCGGAUCGUAAAACUCUGUUAUUAGGGAAGAACAUAUGUGUAAGUAACUGUGCACAUCUUGACGGUACCUAAUCAGAAAGCCACGGCUAACUACGUGCCAGCAGCCGCGGUAAUACGUAGGUGGCAAGCGUUAUCCGGAAUUAUUGGGCGUAAAGCGCGCGUAGGCGGUUUUUUAAGUCUGAUGUGAAAGCCCACGGCUCAACCGUGGAGGGCCAUUGGAAACUGGAAAACUUGAGUGCAGAAGAGGAAAGUGGAAUUCCAUGUGUAGCGGUGAAAUGCGCAGAGAUAUGGAGGAACACCAGUGGCGAAGGCGACUUUCUGGUCUGUAACUGACGCUGAUGUGCGAAAGCGUGGGGAUCAAACAGGAUUAGAUACCCUGGUAGUCCACGCCGUAAACGAUGAGUGCUAAGUGUUAGGGGGUUUCCGCCCCUUAGUGCUGCAGCUAACGCAUUAAGCACUCCGCCUGGGGAGUACGACCGCAAGGUUGAAACUCAAAGGAAUUGACGGGGACCCGCACAAGCGGUGGAGCAUGUGGUUUAAUUCGAAGCAACGCGAAGAACCUUACCAAAUCUUGGCAUCCUUUGACAACUCUAGAGAUAGAGCCUUCCCCUUCGGGGGACAAAGUGACAGGUGGUGCAUGGUUGUCGUCAGCUCGUGUCGUGAGAUGCUGGGUUAAGUCCCGCAACGAGCGCAACCCUUAAGCUUAGUUGCCAUCAUUAAGUUGGGCACUCUAAGUUGACUGCCGGUGACAAACCGGAGGAAGGUGGGGAUGACGUCAAAUCAUCAUGCCCCUUAUGAUUUGGGCUACACACGUGCUACAAUGGACAAUACAAAGGGCAGCGAAACCGCGAGGUCAAGCAAAUCCCAUAAAGUUGUUCUCAGUUCGGAUUGUAGUCUGCAACUCGACUACAUGAAGCUGGAAUCGCUAGUAAUCGUAGAUCAGCAUGCUACGGUGAAUACGUUCCCGGGUCU
rnacentral:rRNA from 1 species